rnacentral:rRNA from 1 species
UCCCACCCCCAUACCAGCCUGAUUAUGCCCGAUCUUGUCUGAUCUUGGAAGCUAAGCAGGGUCAGGCCAGUUAGUACUUGCAUGGGAGAUCGCCUGGGAAUACUGGGUGCUGUGGAAU